rnacentral:rRNA from 1 species
AGUGAACGCUGGCGGUAGGCCUAACACAUGCAAGUCGAACGGCAGCACAGUAUGAGCUUGCUCUUACGGGUGGCGAGUGGCGGACGGGUGAGGAAUACAUCGGAAUCUACUUUUUCGUGGGGGAUAACGUAGGGAAACUUACGCUAAUACCGCAUACGACCUACGGGUGAAAGCAGGGGAUCUUCGGACCUUGCGCGAUUGAAUUAGCCGAUGUCGGAUUAGCUAGUUGGCGGGGUAAAGGCCCACCAAGGCGACGAUCCGUAGCUGGUCUGAGAGGAUGAUCAGCCACACUGGAACUGAGACACGGUCCAGACUCCUACGGGAGGCAGCAGUGGGGAAUAUUGGACAAUGGGCGAAAGCCUGAUCCAGCCAUACCGCGUGGGUGAAGAAGGCCUUCGGGUUGUAAAGCCCUUUUGUUGGGAAAGAAAAGCAGCAGGUUAAUACCCCGCUGUUCUGACGGUACCAAAAGAAUAAGCACCGGCUAACUUCGUG